rnacentral:rRNA from 1 species
AUGCAAGUCGAGCGGUACAGAGAGGUGCUUGCACCUUUGCUGACGAGCGGCGGACGGGUGAGUAAUGCUUGGGAACAUGCCUUGAGGUGGGGGACAACAGUUGGAAACGACUGCUAAUACCGCAUAAUGUCUACGGACCAAAGGGGGCUUCGGCUCUCGCCUUUAGAUUGGCCCAAGUGGGAUUAGCUAGUUGGUGAGGUAAUGGCUCACCAAGGCGACGAUCCCUAGCUGGUUUGAGAGGAUGAUCAGCCACACUGGGACUGAGACACGGCCCAGACUCCUACGGGAGGCAGCAGUGGGGAAUAUUGCACAAUGGGCGCAAGCCUGAUGCAGCCAUGCCGCGUGUGUGAAGAAGGCCUUCGGGUUGUAAAGCACUUUCAGUCAGGAGGAAAGGUUAGUCGUUAAUACCGGCUAGCUGUGACGUUACUGACAGAAGAAGCACCGGCUAACUCCGUGCCAGCAGCCGCGGUAAUACGGAGGGUGCGAGCGUUAAUCGGAAUUACUGGGCGUAAAGCGUACGCAGGCGGUUUGUUAAGCGAGAUGUGAAAGCCCCGGGCUCAACCUGGGAACUGCAUUUCGAACUGGCAAGCUAGAGUGUGAUAGAGGGUGGUAGAAUUUCAGGUGUAGCGGUGAAAUGCGUAGAGAUCUGAAGGAAUACCGAUGGCGAAGGCAGCCACCUGGGUCAACACUGACGCUCAUGUACGAAAGCGUGGGGAGCAAACAGGAUUAGAUACCCUGGUAGUCCACGCCGUAAACGAUGUCUACUAGAAGCUCGGUUCCUCGGAWCUGUUUUUCAGAGCUAACGCAUUAAGUAGACCGCCUGGGGAGUACGGCCGCAAGGUUAAAACUCAAAUGAAUUGACGGGGGCCCGCACAAGCGGUGGAGCAUGUGGUUUAAUUCGAUGCAACGCGAAGAACCUUACCUACACUUGACAUACAGAGAACUUACCAGAGAUGGUUUGGUGCCUUCGGGAGCUCUGAUACAGGUGCUGCAUGGCUGUCGUCAGCUCGUGUUGUGAGAUGUUGGGUUAAGUCCCGCAACGAGCGCACCCCUAUCCUUAGUUGCUAGCAGGUAAUGCU